rnacentral:rRNA from 1 species
GAUGAACGCUAGCGGCAGGCCUAAUACAUGCAAGUCGAACGGUGUCUUCGGGCAUAGUGGCGCACGGGUGCGUAACACGUAUGCAACCUACCUUACAUUGGGGGAUAGCCUUUCGAAAGGGAGAUUAAUACCGCAUAAGACAGUAGCUGGGCAUCCAGCAGCUGUUAAAGAUUUAUCGAUGUAAGCUGGGCAUGCGUCCAAUUAGCUAGUUGGUGAGGUAACGGCUCACCAAGGCAAUGAUUGGUAGGGGAACUGAGAGGUCAAUCCCCCACACGGGCACUGAGAUACGGGCCAGACUCCAACGGGAGGCAGCAGUAGGGAAUAUUGGGCAAUGGACGAAAGUCUGACCCAGCCAUGCCGCGUGCAGGAUGAAGGCGUUAUGCGUUGUAAACUGCUUUUAUACAGGAAGAAACGACUCUUGCGAGAGGCAUUGACGGUACUGUAUGAAUAAGCACCGGCUAACUCCGUGCCAGCCGCCGCAGUAAAAC